CCUACGGGAGGCAGCAGUAGGGAAUCUUCCACAAUGGACGAAAGUCUGAUGGAGCAACGCCGCGUGAGUGAUGAAGGUUUUCGGAUCGUAAAACUCUGUUGUUAAAGAAGAACAAGUGUUAGAGUAACUGUUAACACUUUGACGGUAUUUAACCAGAAAGCCACGGCUAACUACGUGCCAGCAGCCGCGGUAAU
rnacentral:rRNA from 1 species